rnacentral:misc_RNA from 1 species
UAUUCGUAGCACUUGGCAAGGGGCAGACCUUAUAGUUUUGAUCAGACUAUAUGAAGCCUUAAUUAGAUCUAGAAUCGAGUAUUGUGGUUUUUUAUUCCAUAAACUCACUAAACAACAAGCAAUCAGGCUAGAUAGAAUUCAAUUCAAAGCCCUAAGAAUAGCAUUAGGAUACAGAAGGAGUACUCCCACCAAAAUCAUUCUAGCUGAAGCUAAAGAACCACCUUUAAGUUUAAGAUUCCAAUUUUUGGGAAGAAGCUACAUAUCUAGAACCCUAUCGUAUACUAAUCACACACUUAUUCCAUUACUCACAGAACUUUCAGAAAACAUUGAAAACCCUCUCAGAAACCCAAAACAUAUUAACCAAAUCGGUAUGCCAGUAAUUUACCAAUGUUUCAAAGACCAUGAUAGAUAUAGUCAUCUAAUACACGCGGCAGAAGUGCCUUUGUGCUUUGAUUUAGAUUUUUACGGAUUAUUUUACAAAGCCCGAGUCUUUACAGAUCAAGGCAGAACAAUUGAUAAAUCGCCUUGUCCGAAUGCAGAAUUUACUCGAAUAUUUGAACAUACCCUGACUGAUUCAAAAACCUUUUAUACAGACGGAUCAAAAACAGAAGGCGCGAAUUUUGUAGGCUUUUCGAUAGCAAUGGGUAACAAUGAUACACUCUAUAAAUUUAGAUCAUCCGAUAUAGCUUCUAUUUUUACAGCUGAAGCCUUGGCAAUAGGGGAAUGUCUCAAUUUAAUCGAGAGAAAAGAUCCAGUUAGGAAAUGCAGGCAAAAUAGUCAAUUUAUACUGGGUACCAGCACAUAGAGGUAUUACAGGUAACGAAAAAGCAGAUUCAGGGGCCAAAGAUGCGAUACGUAAUGGUGUUGAUUCUCAGCUGUUGCUCACAAUUGCAGAUCUAAAAAGUUAUUGGAAAAAUCAAAUGUACAAAGAGUUUAAUAGCUUUUGCACUGAAACAGGUAGAGAAAAAGGAAAUUAUUAUUUCAGUCACUUGUAUGAUCCAGCCCCAUCACAGUGGUUUAAUGAGUGGCCUAUUAAUCGACGUGGGAUUUGUACAAUCAACAGACUCCGUUCUGGACAUAAUUCUUUAAAUAUAUCAUUAAAAAAAAUAAAUGUUAUUCCUUCGAGUCUAUGUGAAUGUAACAAAAAAGAUGAAACUCUAGAUCACGUUUUAUGGUCUUGUGAACUACACAAGAAACAGAGAGAAAAGCUGAUAAAGAUUUUAACGAAAAAUGGUAAAGAACCGCUGGUUCGGGAUCAUGAAGACUAGAGACCUAGGCUAGACUAGGUCUCUAGUCUUCAUGUUCGGGAUACUCUGGGACUGCUAAAAUGUAAUAGUAGGCCUAAAACUAUGGCAUUUAGUAACUUUUUGAACACGAUAUCCAAAAAAAUUUAAUCAAGAAAAUUGAGUAUCGUUUAUAUUUCUUAUAGUCUUAUGCUUAUACAGAUAUAUUUUAAUGUUAUGAACCUAGAAAUAUUUUAUUGUUAGUGUUGUGCCAUAUACUUUGUACCUUCAAAGAGAGCAAAUAACAAUCAAAACAAAGACUUAACUAAAUUAGUUUAAAGUACUAAAGUAAGAAGUUCAGAAGACAUAUUUGACUGUAAGCAAAAGUAUUCGUAUUUAAAUACCUAUAUUUAUCUAUUUAAGUUUUAUGAUGUUUUUAUAUUUUAUAAAAAAAAGAGAAGAAAAAGGAAAAUGUUAACGUUCAGUUAGAAUAUCAGAUCUAAAUAAUAGUUAACUGAAUAUACAAUCAUAUUAUGAUAGAAUAUGAUCUCAGGGUAAUUUUUCCCACAAACACAUUUUUUUGCACCUUGUAAGAAAACCUUUAUAAAGAUACUUCACUGGAAGUGUAAAGACUCCUUCAUAAACGAAUUAUACUAUAGUGUAAAGAGGGCUGGA